GACGAACGCUGGCGGCGUGCCUAAUACAUGCAAGUUGAGCGAUGAAGAUUGGUGCUUGCACCAAUUUGAAGAGCAGCGGACGGGUGAGUAACGCGUGGGGAAUCUGCCUUGGAGCGGGGGACAACAUUUGGAAACGAAUUCUAAUACCGCAUAACAACUUUAAACAUAAGGUUUAAGUUUGAAAGAUGCAAUUGCAUCACUCAAAGAUGAUCCCGCGUUGUAUUAGCUAGUUGGUGAGGUAAAGGCUCAUCAAGGCGAUGAUACAUAGCCGACCUGAGAGGGUGGACGGCCACCUUGGGACUGGGACACGGCCCAAACUCCUUCGGGAGGGAGCAGUAGGGAAACUUCGGCAAUGGAGGGAAGUCUGACCGAGCAACGCCGCGUGAGUGGAGAAGGUUUUCGGAUCGUAAAACUCUGUUGGUAGGGAAGAACGUUGGUGAGAGUGGAAAGCUCAUCAAGUGACGGUAACUACACAGAAAGGGACGGCUAACUACGUG
rnacentral:rRNA from 1 species